rnacentral:rRNA from 1 species
GCUUGUCUCAAGAUUAAGCCAUGCAUGUCUAAGUAUAAGCAUUAUACAGUGAAACUGCGAAUGGCUCAUUAUAUCAGUUAUAGUUUAUUUGAUAGUCCCUACUAUUUGGAUAACCGUAGUAAUUCUAGAGCUAAUACAUGCAUAAAGCAGUCUCACGGCUGCGUAUUUAUUAGAUACAAUCAGCCCCCUCGGGGCUCCUUGGUGAUUCAUGAUAACUAUACGAAUCGCACGGCCUUGCGCCGGCGAUGGUUCAUUCAAAUUUCUUCCCUAUCAACUUUCGAUGUUUGGGUAUUGGCCAAACAUGGUUGCAACGGGUAACGGAGGGUUAGGGCUCGACCCCGGAGAAGGAGCCUGAGAAACGGCUACUACAUCCAAGGAAGGCAGCAGG